AGGCACUACGGUGCUGAAGCAACAAAUGCCCUGCUUCCAGGAAAAGCCUCUAAGCAUCAGGUAACAUCAAAUCGUACCCCAAACCGACACAGGUGGUCAGGUAGAGAAUACCAAGGCGCUUGAGAGAACUCGGGUGAAGGAACUAGGCAAAAUGGUGCCGUAACUUCGGGAGAAGGCACGCUGAUAUGUAGGUGAAGCGACUUGCUCGUGGAGCUGAAAUCAGUCGAAGAUACCAGCUGGCUGCAACUGUUUAUUAAAAACACAGCACUGUGCAAACACGAAAGUGGACGUAUACGGUGUGACGCCUGCCCGGUGCCGGAAGGUUAAUUGAUGGGGUUAGCGGUAACGCGAAGCUCUUGAUCGAAGCCCCGGUAAACGGCGGCCGUAACUAUAACGGUCCUAAGGUAGCGAAAUUCCUUGUCGGGUAAGUUCCGACCUGCACGAAUGGCGUAAUGAUGGCCAGGCUGUCUCCACCCGAGACUCAGUGAAAUUGAACUCGCUGUGAAGAUGCAGUGUACCCGCGGCAAGACGGAAAGACCCCGUGAACCUUUACUAUAGCUUGACACUGAACAUUGAGCCUUGAUGUGUAGGAUAGGUGGGAGGCUUUGAAGUGUGGACGCCAGUCUGCAUGGAGCCGACCUUGAAAUACCACCCUUUAAUGUUUGAUGUUCUAACGUUGGCCCCUGAUCGGGGUUGCGGACAGUGUCUGGUGGGUAGUUUGACUGGGGCGGUCUCCUCCUAAAGAGUAACGGAGGAGCACGAAGGUUGGCUAAUCCUGGUCGGACAUCAGGAGGUUAGUGCAAUGGCAUAAGCCAGCUUGACUGCGAGCGUGACGGCGCGAGCAGGUGCGAAAGCAGGUCAUAGUGAUCCGGUGGUUCUGAAUGGAAGGGCCAUCGCUCAACGGAUAAAAGGUACUCCGGGGAUAACAGGCUGAUACCGCCCAAGAGUUCAUAUCGACGGCGGUGUUUGGCACCUCGAUGUCGGCUCAUCACAUCCUGGGGCUGAAGUAGGUCCCAAGGGUAUGGCUGUUCGCCAUUUAAAGUGGUACGCGAGCUGGGUUUAGAACGUCGUGAGACAGUUCGGUCCCUAUCUGCCGUGGGCGCUGGAGAACUGAGGGGGGCUGCUCCUAGUACGAGAGGACCGGAGUGGACGCAUCACUGGUGUUCGGGUUGUCAUGCCAAUGGCACUGCCCGGUAGCUAAAUGCGGAAGAGAUAAGUGCUGAAAGCAUCUAAGCACGAAACUUGCCCCGAGAUGAGUUCUCCCUGAGACUUUAAGUCUCCUGAAGGAACGUUGAAGACGACGACGUUGAUAGGCCGGGUGUGUAAGCGCAGCGAUGCGUUGAGCUAACCGGUACUAAUGAACCGUGAGG
rnacentral:rRNA from 1 species